rnacentral:rRNA from 1 species
UACAGAGGUCUCAAGCGUUGUUCGGAUUCAUUGGGCGUAAAGGGUGCGUAGGCGGCGGGGCAAGUCUGGUGUGAAAUCCCGGGGCUCAACCCCGGAACUGCACUGGAUACUGCUCUGCUAGAGCACUGGAGAGGAGACUGGAAUUUACGGUGUAGCAGUGAAAUGCGUAGAUAUCGUAAGGAAGACCAGUGGCGAAGGCGAGUCUCUGGACAGUUGCUGACGCUGAGGCACGAAGGCCAGGGGAGCAAACGGG